rnacentral:misc_RNA from 1 species
GAUGAAGAACGCAGCGAAAUGCGAUAAGUAGUGUGAAUUGCAGAAUUCAGUGAAUCAUCGAAUCUUUGAACGCACAUUGCGCCCUUUGGUAUUCCUUAGGGCAUGCCUGUUCGAGCGUCAUUUAAACCUUCAAGCUAAGCUUGGUGUUGGGUGACUGUCCGCUUCACGGCGGACUCGCCUCAAAAUUAUUGGCGGCCGGUACAUUGGCUUCGAGCGCAGCAGAAACGCGAACUCGGGCCCGUCGUAUUGGCUCCCAGAAGCUAUCUUCACAAUUUUGACCUCGUAUCAGGUAGGGAUACCCGCUGAACUUAAGCAUAUCAAUAAGCGGAGGA